GACGAACGCUGGCGGCGUGCCUAAUACAUGCAAGUUGAGCGAUGAAGAUUGGUGCUUGCACCAAUUUGAAGAGCAGCGAACGGGUGAGUAACGCGUGGGGAAUCUGCCUUUGAGCGGGGGACAACAUUUGGAAACGAAUGCUAAUACCGCAUAACAACUUUAAACAUAAGUUUUAAGUUUGAAAGAUGCAAUUGCAUCACUCAAAGAUGAUCCCGCGUUGUAUUAGCUAGUUGGUGAGGUAAAGGCUCACCAAGGCGAUGAUACAUAGCCGACCUGAGAGGGUGAUCGGCCACAUUGGGACUGAGACACGGCCCAAACUCCUACGGGAGGCAGCAGUAGGGAAUCUUCGGCAAUGGACGAAAGUCUGACCGAGCAACGCCGCGUGAGUGAAGAAGGGUUUCGGAUCGUGAAACUCUGUUGGUAGAGAAGAACGUUGGUGAGAGUGGAAAGCUCAUCAAGUGACGGUAACUACCCAGAAAGGGACGGCUAACUACGUG
rnacentral:rRNA from 1 species